rnacentral:rRNA from 1 species
GACGAACGCUGGCGGCGUGCUUAACACAUGCAAGUCGAACGGAAAGGCCCUGCUUUUGUGGGGUGCUCGAGUGGCGAACGGGUGAGUAACACGUGAGUAACCUGCCCUUGACUUUGGGAUAACUUCAGGAAACUGGGGCUAAUACCGGAUAGGAGCUCCUGCUGCAUGGGGGGGGUUGGAAAGUUUCGGCGGUUGGGGAUGGACUCGCGGCUUAUCAGCUUGUUGGUGGGGUAGUGGCGUACGAAGGCUUUGACGGGUAGCCGGCCUGGGAGGGUGGCCGGCGUCAUUGGGCCUGCGAUACGCACCAGAAUCCUACGGGCGGCAGCAGUGGGGAACAUUGCACAAUGGGCGGAAGCCUGAUACAGCAACGCCGCGUGCGGGAUGACGGCCUUCGGGUUGUAAACCGCUUUCGCCUGUGCCGAAGCGUGAGUGACGGUAAUGGGUAAGGAAGCCCCGGCUAACUACGUG